UACGGGGGGGGCUAGCGUUGUUCGGAAUUACUGGGCGUAAAGCGCACGUAGGCGGCUUUGUAAGUUAGAGGUGAAAGCCCGGGGCUCAACUCCGGAACUGCCUUUAAGACUGCAUCGCUAGAAUCAUGGAGAGGUGAGUGGAAUUCCGAGUGUAGAGGUGAAAUUCGUAGAUAUUCGGAAGAACACCAGUGGCGAAGGCGACUCACUGGACAUGUAUUGACGCUGAGGUGCGAAAGCGUGGGGAGCAAACAGG
rnacentral:rRNA from 1 species